GAAAAUAAAACGAAGGGCGCUCUUCCCCUACCCUGAGCUUAUUACGUUAUCGAAUAAAAUCUCUUCCCGUCGCUUGCCUGCAUCUGAAGAACGAUAUCAAUAUCUUAAGCUUUAAGGCUCUCUACUGAGCUUUCAGGACGCGGCUAAAGCGCGAGCCUCUUAAGAAAGAGGUGGCGUUUGGUUCCGGCUUUUGCGGAUCCUGUGAAGAGUCUAUUAAUGAGGAAGGAACACUGUUCAGGCCUUGGUAGCAUGUGGACGUAAUUAGCCUCGCUUAGCAUGUUUAGGGUCGCGGGUUCCCGCAGGAACAAUCUUCUUCACCCCACGAAACUCUGGGACCGGCUACAAAGACUCCCUUGCUGCAACCUUGCAAACUAGCCAUUGGAUUCUUAGAGGACAACAUCGAUUGUAGCAUUGGGCAAGAAUUUGGUGGAUUGGUUUUAGUUUUUUUUUGGGGGGGGCGAAGAAUAUUCCCUUCCGACAGAAUAGCUUCGAGAAGCAGAUUGCUGCUAGCUGGAAAAUGAGAUCCCGUGUCAGUCUUUGGCAGCAAGAAUUGCGGUUCCUCAUGCUAAUGAGUGAAUGAACCACACGUGCUAACGGAUGCCAGAGAGAAAGAAAGCGGCUCUGUCAACUUGCACAGUAUCCAGCCACACUUUUCAUGUUUCGUAAGGGAUUGUGAGGAGGUUGGAAAUGAGGAGUAGGAGCAAUUCUGGAGUCCGCCUCGAUGGCUACGCUCGGCUUGUUCAACAGACAAUUUUGAAUCAUCAGAAUCCAGUUACAGGACUACUUUCUGCCAGCACAGAACAAAAGGAUGCUUGGGUGCGAGAUAAUAUAUACAGCAUUUUGGCUGUCUGGGGCCUAGGGAUGGCCUACAGGAAGAAUGCAGACCGUGAUGAAGAUAAAGCCAAAGCAUAUGAAUUAGAACAGAAUGUUGUGAAACUAAUGCGGGGGCUCUUACAGUGUAUGAUGAGACAGGUAGAUAAAGUUGAAAAGUUCAAGCACACUCAGAGUACCAAGGAUUGCCUGCAUGCCAAAUAUAACACGGCCACUUGUGGAACAGUAGUUGCAGAUGAUAAGUGGGGGCAUCUACAAGUAGAUGCUACUUCCCUUUAUCUUCUUUUCCUGGCUCAGAUGACAGCAUCAGGAUUGCGUAUUAUUUUCACACUUGAUGAAGUGACCUUUAUACAGAAUCUUGUAUUUUACAUUGAGGCUGCCUAUAAAGUUGCUGAUUAUGGCAUGUGGGAACGUGGUGAUAAGACAAAUCAGGGCAUUCCUGAGUUGAAUGCAAGCUCUGUUGGAAUGGCAAAAGCUGCUUUGGAAGCAAUUGAUGAGCUGGACCUGUUUGGAGCUGGAGGAGGACAUAAGUCAGUCAUUCAUGUACUCCCAGAUGAAGUUGAACAUUGUCAGUCUAUUCUAUACUCCAUGUUACCAAGGGCAUCCACAUCAAAGGAGAUUGAUGCUGGCCUUUUGUCCAUUAUUUCUUAUCCAGCCUUUGCCAUAGAAGAUAUGAACAUUGUUAAUGCAACGAAAAAUGAAAUUAUCACCAAGUUGCAAGGGCGUUAUGGCUGCUGUCGUUUCCUCCGAGAUGGCUAUAAAACACCAAGAGAGGAUCCAAACAGAUUACAUUAUGAUCCUGCUGAACUCAAGUUAUUUGAGAACAUAGAAUGUGAAUGGCCUGUAUUCUGGACAUAUUUUUUAAUUGAUGGAGUGUUCAAUGAUGACAGAAUUCAGGUGCAGGAAUACAGAGAAGCUUUGGAAGGGAUCCUUAUUAGAAAAAAGAAUGGAAUUCUUCUGAUGCCAGAACUGUAUGCAGUUCCUUCAGAUAAGGUGAGUGAAGAGUAUGAAAAUCCUCACACAGUGGAUCGUGUUCCAGCAGGGAAACUUCCUCAUCUUUGGGGCCAGUCAUUAUAUAUUCUUUCUGCCCUCCUAGCAGAGGGAUUUUUGGCUAUGGGUGAGAUUGAUCCAUUAAAUAGAAGGUUUUCAACAGCUUUUAAGCCUGAUGUGGUUGUUCAAGUAAACGUUCUAGCAGAAACAGAUGAAAUUAAGAAACUAUUACGACAUCAUGGAAUUAAUGUACAAAGCAUUGCUGACCUGAGUCCCACCAGAGUGCAGCCAUCUCGGAUUCUGAGUAAUCUUUAUGCUAAGCUUGGGCGUAACAAGAACAUGAAGUUGAGUGGGAGGCCUUAUCGGCAUAUUGGUGUCCUGGGAACAUCCAAAUUAUAUAUCAUAAGAAACCAAAUAUUUACGUUUACCCCUCAGUUUACAGAUCAGCAUCACUUCUACUUGGCUUUAGACAAUCGGAUGAUUGUGGAGAUGCUACGAACUGAGUUGGCUUAUCUAACUUCCUGUUGGAGAAUGACUGGAAGACCAAUUCUUACUUUCCCAAUCACCAGUACAAUGCUUGUGGAUGAUGGGACUGAUAUUGAUCCUGCAAUUCUUGCCACCAUAAGAAAGCUUGGAGAUGGAUAUUUUGGAGGAGCAAGAGUGAAGUUGGGCAAACUUUCGGACUUUCUGACCACUUCAUUCUAUACAAACCUAAGCUUCUUGGAUCCUGAUUGUGACAGCAAACUGUUUGAUGAUGAAAGUGAAAGCUUCUCUAGCCCUGAAAGUGGCUAUGAACUAGAAGAUUAUGCAGACUUUUGUAAUAAGGAAAGCCAUGAUGAACUGGACCAGUACAUAAACAGUAUGUUACAGAGUACUGCUCUGAAAUCAUACUUGCCUCCACUCACAAAAGGCACAGGCUCAUCCUACGUGUUCAGCGCUGCUCAUUCUACUAGAGAAAUACUAUCAAUCAUGGCCAAGGCUAAGGGACUGGAUGUUCCAAAUGUUUCAAUGUCAUUGCCUACAAAGGUUUUAAGCACUCACCGGAAAUCUCUGAACCUAGUUGACUCCCCUCAUCCACAAGUGGACCAAGAAUCUAAGACUGCUUUUCAUUUGCCAAAGGAUGCUCAUGGUGAUUUGGAUUGUGAGAAAUUAGUUGGGCAGCUAACAGAAUGUCUUACUUUACAUGACCAGGCAGAUAUAUUAUACAUCUUAUAUCUAAUAAAAGGUCUUGAUUGGGAAACACAUCUCUAUGGCCAGUGUGGAGUGACAGUUCAUUGCCUCCUCAAUGAAUUGUACAGCAAAGCAGGCAUAAACCAAGAAUGGGGGCUCAUCCGCUACAUUUCUGGCAUAUUGAAAAAAAAAGUUGAAGUUCUGGCUGAGGCCUGUACAGAUCUUUUAUCCCACCAGAAGCAACUUACAGUUGGCCUCCCACCUGAGCCCCGUGAAAAAACAAUUAUAGCACCUUUGCCUCCUGAAAAGCUGAUCAAACUAAUAUACGAAGCCAGUGGCCAGGAUAUCAGCAUUGCAGUCCUUACACAGGAAAUUAUAGUGUACCUGGCCAUGUAUGUCCGGUCACAACCUAAUCUCUUUGCAGAAAUGCUCAGACUCCGCAUUGGGCUCAUUAUUCAAGUGAUGGCAACAGAACUUGCUCGCAGCUUGAAUUGUUCAGGUGAAGAAGCCUCUGAAAGUUUAAUGAAUCUGAGUCCCUUUGAUAUGAAAAAUCUCCUUCAUCAUAUUCUCAGUGGAAAAGAAUUUGGAGUCGAAAGGAGCAUGCGUCCCCUUGAUUCUUCUACAUCCAGCCCUGCUAUAUCUAUCCAUGAAGUAGGUCACACUGGAGCAACAAAGACAGAAAGAAGUGGCAUUACGAGGCUGAAGAGUGAGAUGAAGCAGAAACAUAGGAGACUAAGUAGUAAUGAACAGUUCUUCUAUGGGGGCCAUUCCACAUCCAGCAGCAUGUAUUCAUCCAGGUCUAUGAGAUGCAGUAGCCCAUCUUCUCCUACUAGUACAUCAUCCCUAACUGGGUCAGUUGGACACUUUAUUAGCUGGGGUGACCGACAAGGGCAGUGGCUUCGCAGGAGACGGCUUGAUGGUGCCAUUAAUAGAGUCCCUGUGGGUUUCUAUCAGAAAGUGUGGAAGAUUCUUCAGAAGUGUCAUGGACUGUCCAUUGAUGGGUAUGUCCUUCCAUCUUCAACCACAAGGGAGAUGACUCCUUGUGAAAUUAAGUUUGCUGUCCAUGUGGAAUCAGUGCUGAACCAUGUACCCCAGCCCGAAUACAGACAGUUAUUAGUGGAGGCCAUCCUUGUACUGACCCUAUUGUCAGAAAUAGAUGUGAACAGCAUUGGGGGUAUAAUUCAUGUGGAUCGGAUUGUGCACAUAGCAAAUGACCUCUUCCUUCAGGAACAGAAAUCCCUCGGAGCAGCUGAUGGCUUCUUGGAACAAGAUGUAGGCACAGGUAUCUGCUACUUUUUCUAUGACAGUGCUCCAAGUGGUGCUUAUGGAACCAUGACUUAUUUAACAAAAGCAGUAGCUAGUUAUCUCCAUGAAUUUCUUCCAAGCACAGGCUGCUUGAUGCAGUAAACUGUCCAAAAUACAAGCAUCCAUUCUUAAAGGAUUUUUCCUAUAAUCAUAAUUUUUUGAGGCCACAGUGGCUAGGACUUCUGGAAGUUGAGUCCCACUACAUCAGGAGACUGCUGGGGAAGGCUGCCUGUAGCUCCUCCUGCUACCUCAACAUUACCUGCAUCGUUUUAUUAUUAACAUAAAGCCUCAGUUUGGAAGCAAGACCAAAGGCACAAUUCUGUGCAGAUCUGCAGAGCAUUGUCUGGAUCAUCUUGGACUCAGGGAAAGAUUGAAAGCAAACGAGGUCCAGGCAGAAGAAGAACAUCGUGGCUUCAAAAUCUAAGGGACUGGUUUGGACAAAACUCAGAAGCACUCAUGAAGCAGUUUGCUUUCCUCAUACUAUUAUAUAGGAAUCUAACUUUAAAAAUAAACAAUGAGUAUGUUAGGAGAAGUGAAGGCUGUUUUUCAAAUUGAGUGUAUUUAUUCUCAAGCUAUUUGAGAGCAUGCAGCUAUUCCACCAUCAUCAUAGCAAGGAUCUAUCUAUAAUGAAUUCGUAUUUUUAGAAUGCUGACAGUCAGUUCUUUUAUUUCUAAUCUGUUUUAGGCAACUGGUUUGUCUGGUUGUCAGACACCUGCAUAGACUGAAAAAUAAGUAAAGCUGUUCCACAAGAAAUUACUACCAUGUUUUUUCUGAAAAUAAGACCUACCCCCAAAAUAAGCCCUAGCUUGAUUUCCGGGGGUGGAUGUAAUAUAAGCCCUACCCCAAAAAUAAGCCCUAGUUUUGGGGCAAGGUGCAUGCCUAAAAAUCUAGCUAGGGUGGGGGUGGGAGGUAGAGCUGCCCCAUGUGCCCUGAACCUGCUUUCCUUACCGGUGUGACCAUCACAGCCAGGCCUCCCAUGCCCUGAUGCCUGUCAUGCUGCUGCCCAAGUUCUGUGGCUGCUUGUGACCACAUGGCUCUUUGCGCUGACUGCACCGGUUCCUCCAUUCAUGGCAGGAGGCUGCACGGUGCUUCAGGGUGGUGUUGCUGCUCGUGGCAGGAGGCUGCACUGUGUUUCGGGCCAGUGCUGCCAUUCGCAGCAGGAGCCACACAAUGCUUCGGGCCGAUGCCGCUGCUUGCAGCAGGAGGCCAUGUGAUUCAUACCAGUGCUGCUACUCAUGUUAGGCUGUGUAGCACUUUGUGUCCAUGCUGCCACUCACAUGCGUCAAUGUGCUGCGUGACCUGCCAUGAGCGGCAGCCCGACCCGAAGUGCUAUGUGGCCUGCCGCAAGCGGAAGCACCGGCCCAAUUGGCACCAUGUGGCAUGCAGCCACGAGCAGUGGCACUGCCCCAAAGCAUUGCACAGCCCCUUGCUGUGAGCAGUGGCACCGGCCAGAAGCAUUAUGCAGCCUCCUGCCACGAGCAGCAGCACUGACCCAAAGCACCAUGCAGCCUCCUGCCACGAGCAGCGGCUCUAACACUAUGUGCCAUGUGGUGUCUGGCCGCAAGCAGCAACAAGCAGCUGCUGAAGAAGUCAAGCAGCAGCACAACAGGCAUCGGGAUGGGAGGCCUGGCUGCAGCAGUCCUAAGAUAUCCCCCCCCCAAAAUAAGACCUGGUGUCUCUUUUGGAAGAAAAAAAAAAUAUAAGACCGGGUCUUAUUUUUGGGAAAACGCGGUAGCUGUAGACUUACUUGGAGCACGGUAAAACAGAAAGCAUCUAAAAACUACAUUGACACAAUAAGCAUGUUGGCAGGAUCAACUGGCCAAAAUUGGCCAGUUCAUUUAUCAGCUGAAAUGGCUGUGGUUAUGAAGAAGGACCUGCCUAUACUACUUCUUUGAAAUGAUUGGGAAAAAAUUGUCUUGAUUUGAGCCAGAAUAGUAUUUUUUCAUCAGACACUUAAUUUCAAAUGCAGCUCAACAAAGUUUUCCUAUACAGUAGAAAUGAAUUUAUUUUCCAGAGGUAAUAGAACAUUAAAAUACAUUCAUAUUUAUUUUAUCCUACAUUUUAAAAGAAAAAUAUUGAAUAUGAAGCAAAUGUUUGUCAGAGGCUUUUGUAAUAGAAAAAGGAACAAGACAGGGAUGCCCGUUGUCUC